rnacentral:rRNA from 1 species
CAGAGGGUGCAAGCGUUGUUCGGAAUCACUGGGCGUAAAGCGCGCGCAGGCGGAUGGUUGCGUCCGGAGUGAAAUUUCGCCGCUCAACGGCGAAGCUGCUUUGGAUACGGACCGUCUAGGGACCGGUAGAGGCUGGUAGAAUUGCAGGUGUAGCGGUGGAAUGCGUAGAGAUCUGCAAGAAUACCCGUGGCGAAGGCGGCCAGCUGGGCCGGAUCCGACGCUGAGGCGCGAAAGCGGUGGGGAGCAAACAGGAUUAGAUACCCUGGUAGUCCACGCCGUAAACGAUGGGCACUAGGUGCCGGGGGGAGCGACCCCCUCGGUGCCGCAGCUAACGCGAUAAGUGCCCCGCCUGGGGAGUACGGCCGCAAGGCUG